GAUGAACGCUGGCGGCGUGCCUAAUACAUGCAAGUCGAGCGAACGGACGAGAAGCUUGCUUCUCUGAUGUUAGCGGCGGACGGGUGAGUAACACGUGGAUAACCUACCUAUAAGACUGGGAUAACUUCGGGAAACCGGAGCUAAUACCGGAUAAUAUUUUGAACCGCAUGGUUCAAAAGUAAAGACGGUCUUGCUGUCACUUAUAGAUGGAUCCGCGCUGCAUUAGCUAGUUGGUAAGGUAACGGCUUACCAAGGCAACGAUGCAUAGCCGACCUGAGAGGGUGAUCGGCCACACUGGAACUGAGACACGGUCCAGACUCCUACGGGAGGCAGCAGUAGGGAAUCUUCCGCAAUGGGCGAAAGCCUGACGGAGCAACGCCGCGUGAGUGAUGAAGGUCUUCGGAUCGUAAAACUCUGUUAUUAGGGAAGAACAUAUGUGUAAGUAACUGUGCACAUCUUGACGGUACCUAAUCAGAAAGCCACGGCUAACUACGUG
rnacentral:rRNA from 1 species